GGAUCAUGAUGACUUAAAAAUGGAUCUCGGAAUCUGAGCAAAACGAGUGACCAAACCACUUCUGUGCCAGUUCUGUGAACUGAGGUCC
ensembl:snoRNA SNORD116 Small nucleolar RNA SNORD116